UCAUUAUCCAUAACGACUCUCGGCAACGGAUAUCUCGGCUCUCGCAUCGAUGAAGAACGUAGCGAAAUGCGAUACUUGGUGUGAAUUGCAGAAUCCCGUGAACCAUCGAGUCUUUGAACGCAAGUUGCGCCCGAAGCCCUUAGGCUGAGGGCACGUCUGCCUGGGUGUCACG
rnacentral:rRNA from 1 species